CAGUCGCCACGGUAAUACGGAGGGUGCAAGCGUUAAUCGGAAUUACUGGGCGUAAAGCGUGCGUAGGCGGUUCGUUAAGUCUGUUGUGAAAGCCCCGGGCUCAACCUGGGAAUGGCAAUGGAUACUGGCGAGCUAGAGUGUGUCAGAGGAUGGUGGAAUUCCCGGUGUAGCGGUGAAAUGCGUAGAGAUCGGGAGGAACAUCAGUGGCGAAGGCGGCCAUCUGGGACAACACUGACGCUGAGGCACGAAAGCGUGGAGAGCAAACAGGAUUAGAUACCCCCGUAGUCCCUGUCUCUUAUAC
rnacentral:rRNA from 1 species